AUAGUGGUGUGGGCAAUCUCUCAAGUAUCCUUUGUAUCUCUCCUAAGCUUGGGGAUUUAACAUCUUUUUGAAUAAAUCCAGAAAUCUUGCCUCUGAUUUU
rnacentral:snoRNA from 1 species